rnacentral:tRNA from 1 species
GGGCCUGUAGCUCAACGGCUAGAGCACGUGACUUAUAAUCACGCAACGAUGGUUCGACUCCAUCCAGGCCCA